rnacentral:tRNA from 1 species
GGGGGUAUAGCUCAGUUGGUAGAGCAGCUGACUCUUAAUCAGUAGGUCCAAGGUUCGAGUCCUUGUGCCCCCACCA